AGUGAACGCUGGCGGCAGGCCUAACACAUGCAAGUCGAGCGGAUGAAGAGAACGUGCUCGUGGAUUCAGGGGGGGAGGGGUGGGUAAUUCAGAAGUAUCUCGCUGUCUGCGGGGGAGUACGGGCGGAAGUAGGGACAAAUACCCCAUUAGCGCUUACGAACUACGGGUGAAAGCAUCGGAUCUCCGGCUAUCGCAUGAGUCUAUGACCCGAUGUCGGAUUAGCUAGUUGGAGGGGUAAAGGCGCACCAAGGCGACGAUCCGUAACUGGUCUGAGAGGAUGAUCAGUCACACUGGAACUGAGACACGGUCCAGACUCCUACGGGAGGCAGCAGUGGGGAAUAUUGGACAAUGGGCGCAAGCCUGAUCCAGCCAUACCGCGUGUGUGAAGAAGGCCUUCGGAUUGUAAAGCCCUUUUAGUUGGGAAGAAAGGCAGUAAGUUAAUACCUCGCUGUUUUGACGUUACCCACAGAAUAAGCACCGGCUAACUUCGUG
rnacentral:rRNA from 1 species